ensembl:lncRNA
GAGGGCAGAUCUGUGAGCAAUCAAUGGCGUAAUGUCCCGUGUCUGUACUUUCAGUCAGCCUUUCUUACUCACCGCCUGAAAUGCAAAUCACCCGUGCCUUAUAGACGAGCAGUCGAAUCUGGGCAAUUAUAAUAUUUUAGUAUGUACACCGUGCUCAGCUAAGCUAUGCCAAUGCCUAUAUGAGGUUCACAAUUAGCAUAUGUAUACUUUAUCUCCGUCUACCUCCUUCCUUUAACCAAGUCAGUCUUUAUGACCGCCAUAAAACCCCUCAGGCUGUUCGCCUGGAGUGAGAGGUGCUGAAAAGGUAGGCUAUUACUACUAGAUGAAUAAUGGGGAGCUGUUUGACACUUAGGCUUCAACUGCACAUUGAGCUUUUCACAUGCUAACCAAGUAUGACCCUCACAGGGACACGUCUAGGGUUCUUUCUUGAAAAGAGAGCAACAAUCACGAAGACAGUAAUUACUUUCUAGUCAUGGGGCUACUGACACAAUGUCUUAUCUAUGCCUUUGGCCCAGCGUGACCACCCAGAUGAAAGUACUAUCCCCCUACAGACUACAAAUACAAGUAAAGGAUGCAAUUCUUAUACUAAGCAGACAGUCAAUACAGCUCUCCUUUUCAAGGGCAAGAAACGACCUGCCCUGGAGAAUCAAGUCAAUCAAAAUCGACGUGGCACAAUGACCAGAUACCGCCACUUCCUGUCCCCCCAUGCAGGCCACCACACUGAGUGUUCACAGCACGUACGUGAGCAUAUGGCUAUAACACAACGCACCUUCACACAUACACAGCCUUUAACUCUGAGGUAGACACACACCUUGAUGAAAGACUUCAUGCGUCAUUGUGAUGUGUGAUGGGCAGCCUUAUCUGCAGGAGUCCCUGCCUUUUACUCCUAAAGGUCUGAGGCCUGUUAGACUUUUUUAGGUAGUCUGACAUGCCUUGAUGUUUUUGUAUAUUUCCUCUAACUAAAAACAUUGAUGCACAAGUGGCAUAUAUAUAGAAGAUUCAAUGUUUCUGGGGGUGUUCUUUUCAUGACUUUAGGACAAAAACUCACAGAGCUAUAAAGGCAUAUUGAUAACAAGAAUCCACACCGGUGGGAAAUAGACCUUUAAGGGUUAAUGUAACUCAGCUAGAGCAAGGCUCAGGCCUCUCAAUUUAACUGCCAAUUGAUCUCAGUCUAAACACGGCAUUCAUUAAAACAGCCAGGGUGCCAGCCCGCUGAACUCAACAGCAGAACUGUUUACAGCACAGGCUUUCAGACAGACAUAGAUUCGUAAAGAGAGAAAUACAGACAGAUAGAUAGGCAGACAGACAGAUAGGUAGAUAGAUAGAUAGAUACAUAGAUAGAUACAUAGAUAGACAUAUAGAUAGAUAGAUAGAUAGGUAGGUGGACAGAUAGAUAGCUAGAUAUAUAGAUAGAUAGACAAACAUACAGACAGAUAGGUAGAUAGAGAGAUAGAUAGAUAAAUAGAUAGAUAGAUAGGUGGACAGAUAGAUAGCUAGAUAUAUAGAUAGACAGACAGACAGAUAGGUAGAUAGAGAGAUAGAUAGAUAGAUAGAGAGAUAGAUAGAGAGAUAGAUAGAGAGAUAGAUAGAUAGAUAGA